UUCUGACCUUCUUCUGCAGCCACAUUGGGUCUUUUUUGCUGUGUUCCACUUUUCUUCCUUGUUGGAAUUGUUUGUCAUUGUGCCUUUAGAAUUUCCUUUUAAAGAAAUUCCCACCUACCUUGGACUCUUGCAAUCGAGCUGCAUUCCAAAAAUAGAGCUUCUUUGAUGCUGUUUGCUAUGAUUACCAGGAGUGAAACUAUGAUGUCAGCCUCACAGACAGAGAUUUCCUUUUCCUCUUUGGCAGCUCAUCGCUCUGCAGAAAUGUGGAACACUUGCUGUGAUUUUUCAAGAAGAAAAAAAGGAAAGGAAAGUCCAGCCCAUCCCACUUUUGAAUGUCAGAGGCACAAGUAGAAUGAUCUGAAACUCAAUGCACUUUGAACAUUUUUUUUUGCAGCAGAUGGAAAUCAAUACUCUAGUAGAUGUGAAAUGUUAACAUAUUCCAGUAGAAUCCAAAAUACGAUUGUCUGGUGGAUUUGCCAGAUUGCACAUAUAUUUAGAAACAGGGAGCAGGGGCUUAAAUGAAAAUAUAUGAUCUCCCGAUUAUUUGAUGGACUUCUAAAAGCUUCUGUGCUAUGUGUCAGAAAACUAAUACAUAUAGCGGUAUCCACCAAACACUGUGUUAUAAGAAACCAUAUCUAGAAGUCCAGGAAUAGCAUUCGAAAGAAGUAUACAGUGGUGCCUUGACUUACGAACGCCUUGAUCUACGAACAUUUUGACUUAUGAACUCCAUUUGUGAAAUUUUGCUUUGACAGGCAAACAGAGCUUUGUCUUAUGAAAGGAAAAAGGCAGGGUAAAGGGGUGGGGAAUACAAAUAGACUAACCGUUGGUGACAAAGAGGCUGCUUCUUUCUAGCUCUUUUGCCUCAACGGUUUGGGAAAGGGAUGCGGCGGCGACAGUGGGGGCUGGUGGGGUUAUGUUUAUGUUUAUUUGUUUUGAUUUUUGCAACCCCAGGGGCUUGUGGUGUUUUAUUUUUAUUUUUAAUUUUUUUGGUUUUUUUUAAUGCUGGAAUGGAUUAAUCCCAUUCCCAUGCGUUUCAAUGGGAAAU
ensembl:lncRNA